rnacentral:rRNA from 1 species
AUGCAGUCGUACGAUGAACCACUUAGGUGGGGAUUAGUGGCGAACGGGUGAGUAACACGUGGGCAAUCUGCCCUGCACUCUGGGACAAGCCCUGGAAACGGGGUCUAAUACCGGAUACUGACCCUCGCAGGCAUCUGCGAGGUUCGAAAGCUCCGGCGGUGCAGGAUGAGCCCGCGGCCUAUCAGCUUGUUGGUGAGGUAAUGGCUCACCAAGGCGACGACGGGUAGCCGGCCUGAGAGGGCGACCGGCCACACUGGGACUGAGACACGGCCCAGACUCCUACGGGAGGCAGCAGUGGGGAAUAUUGCACAAUGGGCGAAAGCCUGAUGCAGCGACGCCGCGUGAGGGAUGACGGCCUUCGGGUUGUAAACCUCUUUCAGCAGGGAAGAAGCGAAAGUGACGGUACCUGCAGAAGAAGCGCCGGCUAACUACGUGCCAGCAGCCGCGGUAAUACGUAGGGCGCGAGCGUUGUCCGGAAUUAUUGGGCGUAAAGAGCUCGUAGGCGGCUUGUCACGUCGGUUGUGAAAGCCCGGGGCUUAACCCCGGGUCUGCAGUCGAUACGGGCAGGCUAGAGUUCGGUAGGGGAGAUCGGAAUUCCUGGUGUAGCGGUGAAAUGCGCAGAUAUCAGGAGGAACACCGGUGGCGAAGGCGGAUCUCUGGGCCGAUACUGACGCUGAGGAGCGAAAGCGUGGGGAGCGAACAGGAUUAGAUACCCUGGUAGUCCACGCCGUAAACGGUGGGCACUAGGUGUGGGCGACAUUCCACGUCGUCCGUGCCGCAGCUAACGCAUU